rnacentral:lncRNA from 1 species
UGUGGGCUCAUCUUCUGGCAUCACUGCCUCAGUAGAAUUUGGGAAGGCCUCAUUACCAGGUGAAUGAACUGCCAUGGCUGCCGACAUGAACGUUAAGGUUGGCUAGCGUCAUGGUGCGAGUGGACUGACCGAUGAAAUCUCCAAAGUGAAGAGGCGAGUUGCAUCAUAACUCUCACAGACCUCCUCAUAUAAAAGCUGUGGGCAGGCCCCAGGAGAAGCAGACCAUGAUGCUAAUGAGAAGAGCGCCCUCGCCUCCUUCAACCUGGAAAGAAGGAAGAUGGAGGACGAGAUCCUAUGGGACUUCACAGAGAUGAUUCAUGAGAAUGUCAAGGAAAGGAAGUAACUCGGCUAGAUGCCAGUCCUCGCCUCCAUCACUGAGGAGGAACAGUUUCCAAGAUUGAAUGAGGGACCCUCAUCAGAAUCUUAGG